GUGUUUGUAGAAAGGAGAGAUGGUUGGUAUCUCCUUCUAUAAGGAUUGGAACAACUUUCGGACUUUUUUAUCACAAGUGGUUAAGGUUUUUUACUCUUUUUAGGGUGGAUUUUACUUCAAGUUUUU
rnacentral:ncRNA from 1 species